UAAACUACUUGUGUUAUCUGUAAAUUCCAGACACUGUAUGAAAAAAGCACUGUAAAACUUUUUGUUCUGUUAGCUGAUGCAUGUAGCCCCCAGUCACGUUUCCCAUGCUUGCUUGAUUUAUCACUACCCUUUCACGUGGACCCCUUAAAAUUGUAAACCUUUAAAAAGGCCAAGUAUUUCUUUUUCGGGGAGCUCGGCUCUUAAGAUGCGAGUCUGACAACGCCCCCAGCCAAAUAACAAACCUCUUCCUUCUUUAAUCCGGUGUCUGAGGAGUUUUGCCUGCGGCUCGUCCUGCUGCACAUGGAAUGCUCAUACAGUAGCCCUAAGUCGUGAUUUUCCUUUCACAGGGACAAUGUGACCAUUGAAGUAAGCAGUCAAUACCUUUAGGACCUCAAGGUGAACCAUAUUUGGGACACAGAAGUUUCUGGAAGAGGUAGGCUUGGGCAAGUCAGGUGGGCGGCAGGUUGUGUUUACCGAAAAUGGCCAUGACACCGCCUCCUACUCUUGUUCUUCUGCAGUGUGACCCCGUCAUUCCCCCAUGCGGAAGCAGAGUCUCUUUCUCCAUCCCCGGGAACCCGGGCUGGCCUGUGGCUCCCUUGUGACUGAUAGGAUGGGGUAGAAUCGAUGCCGAUGACUUCUGAGGCUGGAGUGUAGUGGUGCAAUCUGAGGCCACGGCAGAACAGGCCUGAUGCUGAGGCCUGGUUCCCUUGGAAGGUUCCCUUCAGGAAGCUCCUGCUCAGAACUCCGCCUCUGUGCUGCAAGAAGCCCAAGGUACAGGAAGCAGCCAGGUACCGGGGCUCAUACACAGGCUUGGCUGAAUCUGGCUUCCCGGACCAGGGGUUAAGAGGAAAGAAGCCCCCGGGAGAUGCCAGCCAUGGCCAUUCACAGCUUCCUGGCUGAGGCUUCAUCCUCUCCAAACUCCUGACCUGCAGAAUCCCUGGGCAUGGGAAAAUGGUUCUUGUUUGAUGCCAUCAAAUGUGGGAUGAUUGUUACAUAGAUAGAUAACUAUGGUAAACCCAGUGUCACAGGCACCACUGGGUGAUGGAGGUCUGGGAAUGGGGACCCUUGGUGAGGUGAGGCCCUUCGGAUUCUGGUCAAGAGAGUGAGCUCUAGAGCUGUCUAGGUUCAAAUCCAGUCUCCGCCACUUACCAGCUCUGUGACAGUGGGAAAGCGACUUAACCUCUCUGUGCCUUGCACAUCUUCCUCUGUGUAGUGGAGGUGAUAACAGUACCCACCUGGGCAGGCUGUUUGAGGACCAAGUGUCAUCAGUGCCCAAAGAGCACCAGGCUCACUGGAAACGCUUAUUUGGUGUCACUUCCGACGGGCACAGGCCUAGGCCUCGAUUGGACGUCUGGAAGACUGUGCAGGUCUAGAGGGUGCUUAGACUUGGCAGGCAAUUGUAUUUCUUUGUCUCACUAACUGAACUGGGAGAAGACAGUUAUCUGUCUGUCUCUCAUCAUCUGUGCAUUGAGAACAUGGGGCAUAAAGCAAAAUGCUGUAUUUUGACUGGAAGGAGUUGCACGUUCCUGAAAAAAGCCUGCUGGUGGAAUUGAGGCUGACAUCAGGCCUGAGAAGGGGAGGGGAGGGCAUUGGGGAGUGAGACGGCCGGGCCUGGUUGGUGUUGCUGUAGUGGGGUGCAUGCAUGUGUGUGUGUGUGCACGUUUGUGCCUGUGUGUGUGUGUGUCUGUAUGCGUGUGUGAAUAGAGAGAGGUGGCCCCUGGAAAGGGUGAGAGAUGCUCAGUCAAAACUCAGAUAUGUGAGCCCAUUGUCAGAUUUAGACAAUGAAGGGCCCAGUAGGCCACACUCAAGCAAGGCUGUGGCAGGGAUCAUGAUCUGUAUUAGUCCAUUUCCACACUGUUAUGAAAAAAUACCCAAGACUGGGUAAUUUAUAAAGAAAAAGAGUUUAAUGGACGCAUAGUUCCACAUGGUAGGGGAGGCCUCCUAAUCAUGGUGGAAGGUGAAGGAGGAGCAAAGGCAUGUCUUACAUGGUGGCAGGCAAGAGAAUUUGUGCAGCGAACUACCCUUUAUAAAACCAUCAGAUCUCCUGAGACUUAUUCACUAUCGCAAGAACAGCAGGGGAAAGACCCGUCCCCAUGAUUCAGUUGCCCCCCAGUGGGAUUAUGGGAGUGAUAAUUCAGAUUUGGGUGGAGACACGGAGCCAAACCAUUUCAUGAUCCAAGCCCAUGUUAGCCAGGGCAACGGGCAGCAAGGGGGGAGAAAUGGGAAGGGCACAAAAGGAAGCAGAGUCAAGUCUUCUUCCAGGUGUUCUGCCCGUGCCAGGGGGUCCCUCCUGCACCACCUCGCACUCACCUGCAGGUCUGGGCUGGUGCAUCAAGAGAGAGGUGGAAUCUCAUUCUCCCUGUGUGAGUGGACAGUGAGUGGACAUGGAAGUGCGAUCUCACUCCUGGUUUAACCUUUCCCUUGCCCUCCAGCCCUCAGCUUCACUUUUUCUGGUGACCAAAUAAUGACAAUUUUCACAUCGCCAGGUUUGCUUCAGCUUCUGCUGACGGCCGACUGCCUUAGACAUCAAACACACGUUAUCCAGACGCCUGAAACGGCUGAGCCCCAGGGGGCUGUUUAGCAGUUUUAAUGACCUUGAAAAUACUUUGAUGCAAAUGCUUCUGCUGAUAAGCACCUAUUGUGCUGCAGAUCCGUUGUGUGCCAUCUGCUGUUAUUAAAGACGGGGAUGGGGAUGUGAGGGUUUUCCCAGAAAGAAUCCGAAUCACCACUGCUCUCUGGUUUGGCCAAAAAAAAAAAAAAAAAAAAAAAA
ensembl:lncRNA